AAGACGAUUGCAGAACCCAAGAGUCAGCCUUGUCCCCUCAAGGUCAAGGUCAAAUCUCAAGGUCAAAGGUUUGAGCCUUCAAUUUUGUGUCCGCUCUAUAUCUCCUGAACCCCUUGAAGGAUUUUCAUGAAACUUGGGUCAAAUGAUCACCUCAUCAGGACGAUGUGCAAAACCCAUGAGUCAGCCUUGUCUGCUCAAGGUCAAGGUCACAACUGAAGGUCAAAGGUUUGAGCCUUCAAUUUUGUGUCCACUCUAUAUCUCCUAAACCCCUUGAAGGAAUUUCAUAAAAGUUGGGUCAAAUGAUCACCUCAUCAAGACGAUGUGCAGAACCCAUUAGUCAGCCAUGCCGGCUCAAGGUCAAGGUCACAACUUAGGGUCAAAGGUUUGAGCCUUCCAUUUUGUGUCCGCUCUAUAUCUCUUAAACCCCUUGAAGGAUUUUCAUCAAACUUGGGUCAAAUGAUCACCUUAUCAAGGCAAUGUGCAGAAUUCAUGAGUCAGCCAUGCUGGCCUGAAGGUCAAGGUCACAACUGAAGGUCAAAGGUUUGAGCCUUCCAUUUUGGAUUUGCUCUAUAUCUCAUAAUUCCCUUGAAGGAUUCAUUUGAAACUUGGGUCAAAUGAUCACUUCAUCAAGACGAUGUGCAUAACUCAUGAGUCAGCCAGGCUGGCUCAAGGUCAAGGUCACAACUCAAGGUCAAAGGUCUGAGCCUUCCAUUUUGUGUCCACUCUGUAUUUCUUAAACCCCUUGAAGGAAUUUUAUAAAACUUUGGUCAAAUGAUCACCUCAUCAAAACGAUGUGCAGAAGUUAGUCAGCCAUGCUGGCUCAAGGUCAAGGUCAUAACUUAGAGUCAAAGGUUUGAGCCUUCCAUUUUGUGUCCACUCUGUAUCUCCUAAAUGCCUUGAAGGAUUUUCAUCAAACUUGGGUCAAAUGAUCACCUCAUCAAGAACUCAAGAGUCAGCCAUGUCAACUCGAGGUCAAGGUCACAACUCAAGGUCAAAGGUUUCAGCUCUAUAUCUCCUAAACCCCUUGAAGGAUUUUUAUGAAACUUGGGCCAAAUGAUCACCUCAUCAAGAAAUUGUGCAGAAUUCAUGAGUCAGCCAUGUCAGUUCAAGGUCAAGGUCACAGCUAAAGGUCAAAGGUUUACCCUUUCACUAUCCAUAGCAGUGGCGGGGGAUUUAGCUGUCUUUCAGACUGCCUUGUUAUUUUCAUUUCAUUUUGUCUACAAUUUUGUCAAUAUUAAUAGCUGAUCUAGAUCAAAGUCACACCUACAAUUUCAUGAGUUUAGAAAAAAAUGGAUAUGGUUUUAAGUGAAGUGUCAGGCGCACAGAUUUCACUAAAAGCGACGUGUUUGUUUCAUCUUCCUGCUUUAUAUAUAUUUCCAAUUCCCGAAUUUCUUUUCUUCCCACAGGUAGAUAGUAAGGAGCGUCAAGUUUGUAAUCCCAUCCACUUUUCUUGUUUUUCUCAAGUGUCACAUCCUGGACAAAAGUCUGGAAACAGGCCUUCUUCCGGUACUCGCCCACUUGAUAGAUCUUGGUUACUUUCAUCCCGUGGUCCAGGUACCAUUUCAGGAGGGGCAUAGCCAGGAGAAUUUGUCGGCCUUUCGUACCGCCGACCAACAAGCGUCUGGGCUUAUCGCUGAGCUGGUAUUCCCACACGUGGGCCUGCAUACGCUCCCCGAUAUCGUCAAACCCCACCUCCGUGUUGCAGAAGAUGGGGCACAUCUCCUCAAAAUAUUUUCGGGGAGACAUAGAAAUGUGGGCAAACUCAGGACUCCAUUCUUCCGGGACUUCGAUGUCGCACAUACCUAAAAGCUGACUGGUUUGAAACCCGUUUAAAAUUUGGUUUUCGGUCUCUUUACCCCUGUGCUUCUGACUAAAUGUGGGGCGACACGUGUCCCGGAUGUUGUAAAGUUUUGGUUGCGCUUUACAAAACAAGUCGUAUGUCUGUGCAGGAACAAUGGGGUGGUAUCAUAUAACAGCCUGCAAGGUCAGAAAAACCCAUGACGUCAUCAUUCGCCCGAUGCCCCUAUUGGUACUGUCAUUUAUCUCUCUCUCUCUCUCUCUGAUAGCAGAAAGACAUUUGUGAUAAACUGUAAUCUGAUAGUCAUAUUGAGGUCUGGAGAUCUGUGAAACUUGGUCAGACUGUUAAUCUUGAUAAUUUUUAGGUCAAGUUCAAAUCUGGGUCAGGUUGGGUCAAAAACUAGAUCACCAGGUCAAAUCAAAGGAAAAGCUUGUUAACACUCUAGAGGUCACAUUUAUGACUGUAUAUUCCUGAAACUUGGUCAGAAUGUUUGUCUUGAUGAUCUUUAGAUCAAGUUUGAAUCUGGGUCAUAAUGGGAUCUUACACUAGGUCAGUAGGUCAAAUCAAAGGAAAAGCUAGUUAACUCUCUAGAGGCCACCUUUAUGACCUUGCAUUAAUGAACCUUAGAAUGUUAAACUUGAUUAUCUUUAGGUCAAAUUCAAAUUUGGGUCAGGUUCGGUCAAAAACUAGGUCACCAGGUCAAAUCAAAGGAAAAGCUAGUUAACACUCUAGAGGCCACAUUUAUGACAAUAUCUUUGUGAUGAAACUUGGUCAGAAUGUUAAUCUCGAUGAUUUUUAGGUCAAGUUCAAAUCUGGGUCAGGUGGGGUGAAAAACAAGGUCACCAGGUGAAAUCCAAGGAAAAGCUUGUUAACACUCUAGAGGCCACAUUUAUGACUGUAUCUUCAUGAAACUCAGUCAGAAUGUUAAUCUUGAUGAUCUUUAGAUCAAGUUCGAAUGUUGGUCAUGUGGGGUCAAUAAGUAGGUCACCAGGUCAAAUCAAAGGAAAAGCUAGUUAACACUCUAGAGGCCACAUUUAUGACCAUAUCUUAAUGAAACUUGGUCAGAAUGUUAAUCUUGAUGAUCUUUAGGUCAGUAGGUUAGGUGAGCGAUACAGGGCCUUCAUGGCCCUCAUGUUUAUAAUCUACUCUUUCUGGAAAAGUCAUCCAAUGGAGGUCCUUAAAGAGCUCACAUGAAGGGGUAUCAAAUGGUUUUUCUAGUAAAAUUCUCUCAGUCCUUUUCUGAAAUUUGAUCAGAUCAUUUUGCAUUAUUUUGUGAGCUGCAGUUUUAGUUUCCCCUAAUUUGGGUAAGUAAUCCAGAUGGGGCAAAAUAUAGGCGGAGGGACUGUAAGUUCAGACAGAAUCUAAUACUUAGCAAAAGAUUAAGCACUGAAUUGCACUUAUUUAGUAUUUUGUCUAUUUGAGGUUUUCAAUUCAAAUUUUGGUCAACUUGUAUUCCAAGAAGUUUGAUUUUUUCUUUGUGAGAGAGCACCUGCUUAUGUAAAUUAAUGACAUUAUGGGAAAUGUUAACUCUUUGAACAUAUUCUUCCCAUGCAAGCAGUAUCUUCUCCUCUACCUCCUCUAACAUGUCUUCAAGGUAAAAUUCAAUAGCAUUUUCAUUGUCAUUAAUUAGAUCAUACUGUAGCCCGCCUGCUUAGCUCAGUAGGUAAGAGCGUUGGUCUACGGAUCCCGGGGUCGCGAGUUCGAUCCUCGGGCGGGGCGUAUGUUCUCCGUGACUAUUUGAUAAACGACAUUGUGUCUGAAAUCAUUAGUCCUCCACCUCUGAUCAUUCAUGUGGGGAAGUUGGCAGUUACUUGCGGAGAACAGGUUUGUACUGGUACAGAAUCCAGGAAAACUGGUUAGGUUAACUGCCCGCCGUUACAUGACUGAAAUACUGUUGAAAAACGGCGUUAAACCCAAAACAAACAAACAAACAAUCAUACUGUAUUUGUGAUGGAUGAUCAAUCAAACAUCCAUAACACUUCUAAUUGAUCACUGUAUAUUUAACUCCAGUCAAAGCCUUUGCGUAGAUAAAGUCAAAGUCAGAGUUCAUUAGACUAGUAUCACAGCUAGUUGCAGGUGGUGUACAAUAAUCAACUGGAACGUUACAUUGUUCAGUCUUCAUCUUUCCAAAGUCUGUCUCAUCAAAGUUAGUGAUCAUGGAAUCACUUCGUUCAUCAUCAUUACUUCUUACUCUUGAAAGUAAAUCUAACUUCUUUAAAUUUCCUGUUUUAAACCAGACAUGUUUCUCAUAAGUAGUGUUAAACACAUUAAUGAUUAAAUAUCCUCAGUUCUCCGGUUAUAUAGCAUGUAAACGAUUAUUUCAGAUUUUAUUUCAGAACCGUUGCUGCCAAAUUUCAGAACAGUUACUACCACUGAAGGGGACUGUUCCAUGGCACCCAUUUCAGAUGAACAUCAAAAGCAGAAGAACUUACAUAUUGCUUUGACUGUCCAACCAUUGCUUUUGAACGCAAUCUGUGUUCUUUCAUUGGAUUGUCUUCCGGUUUCCAUUUAUUUAGUCGAAGAGAACAUGAAAAACACUGCACAAUAUCUCCUGUACCAGUAUAAUAAAAACCAGUAGAUGCCAACUGGUGCCUGUUGGGAUGAAUUUGCUGAGACCAGUAUUCGAAUGCAUUUAUUAUGUUUUCAUAAAAUUUCAUCUUUGGAGAUUGAAUAGUCUUCUAAGUAGAGACCGUACCAUAGCUCUUCGCAUACUUUGAUUUUUCAAACUAAAGUGAUUUUUACAAGUGCGCCGGUUACGAUAAAAAUGUAAACAACGGACUCUGUCUAUGAAACUUUGAAAUGAAUGAAUGACAGUCGAUCUCAGUCAUAAUACCGAUUGACAGUGAAUGCUAAUGACUCCAUGUGUUGCAGAAAGGUAUUUAGUUUGUAACUUUAAUUUCCCAUCAAUUGAAAUCCUCUCAAAACUGGUAAAAUAAUUACUUAUAUUUGGACAAAUCUCAUCGUCUUUGCCGUUCGGCAGCUGCAAAAAGGGCAAAUAUAAAAGAUUCAGUGUAAGUAAUAUUUCACUGGUACUGCCAGUUAGUAAGUUCAUACUCUGAACAACACGUCAGAGAAAUUUGGGCAGAUUUGACCAAUUAUGACGUUGGCAGCAUUAGAUUAUAUUUUUUCUUUACACAAAAAUUGCCGUUAGGUAACAAAGCGAAUACGCCGAUAAUCCGGAGUUCACCGAUUAUUGUUCCAGUUCACGCAAUGUAAUCCAGCAAUUAAACUGCAUAGCUAUUAGCUACUGCUGUUAUAGAGAAGUGGUAGAGUGUCUGCCUUAGGGGUGAGAGGUCCUGGGUUCAAGUCCCAGUUAGAGCUUAACUCUGUUUAGAUUCUGCUAAAGCAUAGUUUUGCUGUUAAUAGACUGUUCCAGAUGUUCUAAAUUUUUAGCACACAGUAUCAUCGAUCAGUAUUUAGCAAUCCAGAUCAAAGUUGAAUGUUAAAUCAAAUGCACCCAAUUAGAAAAUAUUGACUAUAUUAUGUCCCUUUGAUGUUUAUGCUCUCCAUGUUCAAGAAGAGUUACAUUUCCUUGAUCACAAAAUUUUCGUUAUCAUGAAAAUAUUAAAUGCUCAUAACUCUGCACUUCUGGUUAAAAUAUUGUCUAUAUUUCUGUUUUUGAGAAAUAUAUGGACAUUUCUCUUCAUUUCAAAGCUUUUUAACUUCAAACCUAUGAUUUGAAAAACUUAGGUACUAUCUCUAUUCUAAGUCAUUAAAUUGUUUGUUCAUAAGGAUAGGUGAUAGAUAGUCAACAGUAAAGAGCGUGCUAGUUGCAUUUGCCGCUAAAUUUAGAAUUGGUUGUUGUUGUAGUUUUAAAAUUUUAGAACUAACGUUUAAAAUUGUCUGCCAACUUGGAGGCGCCAAAACUUUGGCAACCUGCACUGUCAAGCACCACCUGGCUUGGAUUUGGGUUCAAAAUGGUUGUGGUUGAAAUAUGAACCACUUGUCAGCCAUCUUAGAUUUGGUAGUUAAUCCCCCGCCGUGGCGGAGGGAUUAUAGGAAUGGUCUGCGUUCGUCCUUCCGUCCGUAACAAAAUCGUGUCCGGUCCAUAUCUCCUAAACCCCUUGAAGGAUUUUCAUGAAACUUGAGUCAAAUGAUCACCUCAUGAAGACGAUGUGCAGAACCCAUGAGUCAGGCUUGUCGGUUCAAGGUCAACGUCACAGCUCAAGGUCAAAGGUUUGAGCCUGCCAUUUUGUGUCUGCUCUAUAUCUCCUAAACCCCUUCAAGGAAUUUUAUAAAACUUGGGUCAAAUGAUCACCUCAUCAAGACGAUGUGCAGAACCCAUGAGUCGGCCAUGCUGGCUCAAGGUCAAGGUCACAACUGAAGGUCAAAGGUUUAAGCCUUACAUUUUGUGUCCGCUCUAUAUCUCUUAAACCCCUUGAAGGAAUUUUAUAAAACUUGUGUCAAAUGAUCACCUCAUCAAGACGAUGUGCAGAACCCAUGAGUCAGUCAUGCCAGCUCAAGGUCAAGGUCACAACUUAGGGUCAAAGGUUUGAGCCUUCCAUUUUGUGUCCACUCUAUAUCUCUUAAACCCUUUGAAGGAUUUUCAUCAAACUUGGGUCAAACCAUCACCUCAUCAAGGCAAUGUGCAGAACUUAUGAGUCAGCCAUGACGGCUCAAGGUCAAGGUCACAACUGAAGGUCAAAGGUUUGAGCCUUCCAUUUCGUGUCCGCUCUAUAUCUCCUUAACCCCUUGAAGGGAUUUUAUAAAACUUGGGUCAAAUGAUUACCUCAUCAGACCAAUGUGCAGAAAUUAUGAGUCAACCAUGCCAGCUCAAGGUCAAGGUCACAACUAAGGGUCGAAGGUUUGAGCCUUCCAUUUGGUGUCCAUUCUGUAUCUCCUUAACCCCUUGAAGGAUUUUCAUCAAACUUGGGUCAAAUGAUCACCUCAUCAAGAACUUAUGAGUCAGCCGUGUCAACUCAAGGUCAAGGUCACAACUGAAGGUCAAAGGUUUCAGCUCUGUAUCUCCUAAACCCCUUGAAGGAUUUUCAUGAAACUUUGGUCAAAUGAUCACCUCAUCAAGACGUUGUGCAGAAUUCAUGAGUCAGCCAUGUCAGUUCAAGGUCAAGGUCACAGCUAAAAUCAAAGGUUUACCCUUUCACUAUCCAUAGCAGUGGCGGGGGAUUUAGCUGUCUUUCAGACUGCCUUGUUCAAGAUGGCAACAAAUGCCCCGUUCCUACCCUACUGUUAUGGCAUUAAAUAAGUGAACAUUUAUCCGACUGGUGAACAGGAUGGCUUGGAAGCUGAUUUUAAUAUUAAAUGCAACAAAAUGUGUGAAAUUAAUAAUUUAAUCUUGUUUACAAAUGAAACGGAAUUAUAAUGUAAAUAUAAGAAAUAAAAUAAUCCCAGUUCAUGCAAAACGAAAGCCAGAAUAGGAUCAGCAGAUUAAACAUGAAUCACUAGUUUGAUCCAUGGAUUUGUUGAUCCUGUUCUGUCGUUCAUCUUGCAUGAACACCAAAAAAAAAUAAACCAGGGUUUCUUGAGCUUAUAAGUAGAAAAAUAAACAUUUAAAUUAUUUAUUCUCAUCAUCUGCUUGAUGGUUCUUCAUAAAACUUGUUUCUGUAGCUUUAUUGUUAGGUAACAUUGUUCAGCAUGCAAACAAAGUAUGUGCAGGGGCUUGGCCCAUUAUACCUGAGGUCAAGGUCACCAAAGUGUUAUACUUAGGUUGUUUUCAAGGUUAAAGUUUUUCAGCAAUCUUUGUUUUUCUAUCAUAUCUUUGUUAUUAUUGCUUAUAUUUUACAUUCACAUAAACAGUGUCCAGCAUACAAACAAAGUAUGUGCAUGGGCUAGGCCCAUUAUUCCCAAGGUCAAGGUCACUAAGUUGUUGUACUUCAUUUAUAGACAGAUCCUUGAUACUUAAAAAAAGAUAAUUACUUGAAAUUUAAAAUAUUUCAUUAUAAUCAGCAUCUUCAUAAAUUAUGUGGUUACAAUCCCCAUAACUCUAAUUGUAAUUUUGACAGAAUUAUGCCCCUUUCAUACUUAAGGUUUUGGCUUGAAACUUGAAAUGUAUCUAUAUAUAAUAAUUCAGCAGUCAACUGUGGAAAAUGUUUGGCUCAGAAGGAAGUGUGGUUCUGGGAAGAAUGUGUUACAUAUCCCAAUGGUAGAUAGUGCAAAGAUUACUGGUUUUACAAAUGCUGAAGUUGAGGGCAGUGUGUUGAGAUGAAACUAGAUGAUUCUAAGGAAGUUGGUCUUCGAAAGGCUUUCAAAUAAGACUAGCAGCUGCUACCAAAGGCAAAGACAGAGAUGCUCAGUUUACAGCCAUACAGUAGAGGUGAACAGUCAUUGAAAAAUUGCUGAUUUGUACCAACCAGCUCCACACAGAAGAUUGAGCAGUAAGAAGGCCAUGUACAGAGAAAGCAGAGAUUCUGUUAUGUGUGUUGUCUUUGAUCCUGAUGGUACCACAGAACGCUGUCAACAAGGAUGUAAUAUUCCUGACAUCUGAGUGUAACAAGAGCCUUAGUGCCUUUGAAAAUGAUAAUGGUUGUAUACAUAAUGCAAGAUAAUUGUCAAGCCCUGCAUUGUUGUUCGUAUAUGUUCCAGAAAUCAGUUAUACAGGGAAAAUCGUCUGACACCAUGAGACUUGGAAAACAGGAGCAGAAAUGUAUACAUCUAUCCUGUCUACACGAAUAAUGACUGUAGUUACAAGGCGUCACUAAUCUUACCAGGACUUGUCAUAUUAAGAGAACUGUCUUUAGAUGAAGAAAUAGAUGCUGCUGAAAGAAAAACGCCAACUAGAAAGACAUAACUCCAAAACCAAUUCCAUGUGUAGUAGUUAAUCCAGAAUAUGUUAGGCUCGGAUUCUGUUUCCUGCAUAACCCAUUGUCAUUUACAAUGUCUGAAUCAGUCAGUGUCAGAAGUAGUUAGUCCCUCACCCAUGUAUGUGUGUAUUCAUGUGUUUUUGGCUUGGAGGGCCGUAAUAUAGAAACUUUAAAUUUCAAGAUACUCCAAGUACAAUUUCUACUUUAAAUUAAAAAAACAUUUUGGUAGGGUAAUUCCGAUUGCAGACAUUAUCAAUAUCAGCCAUUUUAGGCCACAAAAUUUCCAAAAAUUAAAAUCUUGACUUUGUUUACCAUCAUUAUCAUCCAUCAGAGGUUGGUCAAAAUUCCGAGACGAACUAUGGAACCAUGGUAGACCUCUGGUAUGCGAGAGAAUCCUCCUGUGAAACGUUCAGAACCUCUUUAAAUAGCAUGAAAUAAGGAAACAGAUGUAAAAAUAAGUAAAAUUUCUCAAUUUUCUUUUCGCAAUUUCCAUAUUAUAUGCAGGAAAAUUUUAAAUGCCAAUUUGAUGAAAUCGAUUUACCCACCAAAACACCUUUUUGGCACAGAUUUAUAAAUGAUAGAUACAGUGUUUUAGGGAAUAGCGGAUUUUUAGUAGAGAUGAUAGAUUGAUCAAAUUUGCUUUUAUACAUAAAUUAUUGUAUAAAUUUCUAUCUCACUCUUCUUUUACUGGCUUGCAGACAGAUAAUCUGUCAUGUGCUUAAAAUGUUUGUAUGUUGUGUUAUUUUUCACAUGUCAUCCAUCAUACGAAAAUCAAAGCUGUUCUCUGCUGACUAAAUGUAAAAAAUGUCAAAAUAUCAGUGAACGAAAUAUGUUUGAUAGAAAUUUUAAACGCUGAAUAUCUUAAAAGAGUAUAUAUUAUCAUUCUGAUUUAUAGAAAAGAAAUCUAGGUUGGUGUAGUUAGAUGUGUUUUUAUAAUUGAUGACUGAAAAAUGGCCAAAGCUAUCUUCUACACAUUAAAUCAGUACAGCUGAAUGUUUUGAAAAGAAUACUGCAUUUUCCUUGUGUUAUACAGAAAAAAACUCUUAUUUAUAUGCUUCAUAUAUAGUUGCUUCUUCGUCAGUCUUUCUGUCCGUCCUGCAAUUCUUGUCCGGAGUAUUUGGCAGCAACCAGUGGUUAAAAUUUAGCGAAACUUUAUAGAAAGCUUAACUAUCAAGAGGAGAUUUGUAUUCUGGGCUGAUGAUUUUUACAGAGUUAUUGCCCUUUGAUUAUUCAACACUAGUACAGUAAAGACUGUCUACAGUGACCAAUCUUCGGAAGAUUUCAAAAAGGUCACUAGAGACGAGAAUCCACUAUAUACAAUCUAGCUGCUCGGGUGGAGAAGUCUAAUAGCACAAUAUUGUUCCUGUUUUUACAUACAUGUAUACUGAUCCGUAGUCAGAAAGGUAGGUUGGGCUAUGCAUACCCUGGAAAGAUGUAGUCUGGCCAUUGUGAUGGCUCGAAUACUGUUGAAAGUAGCAGAGAGCCCAAACAAUUCAAACAUUUGUAGGUUACUAACAAAUAUUUUGACUGGAUCAUAAUACUUUCUAUGCAUCCAUUUUCUACAGUUAAAAAUAGAGCUUAUUUAAAAUUGUAGUUAUGCGACAAUUAAAAACACCUGCUGGUCGAUAAUCCGAAUGAUGUUUGACACCUUCACGUGUUGUUAGGACAGUAAAUGCAACUUUUAAAAGGUUAGUUUGCACAAAAAAAAAACAAUUUUAUUUGCAACUGAAAUGAUGAUAGUUUGCACAGCAACGGCCACAAAAUACAACAAAAGACCAAGUAUGGUUGCUGGUUGUCCUUCGGUAUAAGGUCAUUAUAAAGGUCCAAAAUACCGUUUUGGGGGAGGAAAUUAUGGUCACUGUACACAUCAGACAAGGAGUCGCUACAAACAAGCCCUGGGGGUCCCAAGUUUUACAUAGACUUAUAUAGGAAACAACUUAAAAAAUUUUCUUGUCUGAAAGUUCAAGGCCUAGGCCUUUGAUAUUUGGUAUGUAGCAUUGCCUAGUGGUUUUCUGACAAGAUUGUUCAAAUUAUGCCCCCCUGGGGUGAAAAGAGGCCCCGCCCGGGGGAGUUAUAUAGGAAAAAUACUUUAAAAAUUAUCUGAUCAUAUUUCCUAGAUUGUUUGAUUAUAAUUACCUAAUGAUCCUAAUUAAUAAGGGGUCACUUGACUGUGACCUUGACCUACUUACCUACUUUCUUGUUUGUUAAGAUACAGCCUUGAAAUUUGGAUGACAUAUACAGUUUUGCACACCGAUCUAAGCUUAACACUGACUUUCAGUGUUUACGAAUGUGACCUACUUUCUUGAUGUUUUAGCAGUUUGACAUUUGAAACAUGUGGCUCAUGUUACUCAGGUGAACGACCCAGGGUCAUUAUGACCCUCCUGUUAUAAAGCACUAUAGGUAUUAAUGUUCAGUCGUUCGGAAUCAGUGAGCAGACAAUUUUUGCAGAAACCACAGCAUAAGCAUAGAAAGA